UCCUACAUAGUUGUUUUUUUAGGAAAAAUGUAUUAAAAAAGAAAAGAAAAAACAAAAAAAAAAAAAGAAGAAGAAGAAGAAGACGGGUGAUCCCUCUCUUAUUUAUAAGUACAUAUAUAUUUGUUUUCGAAUAUCAUUACGAAUAUGUAUGUUGAUACUUCGGGCUUAUAGGAAAAAAAAAGUUACGUUAAAAAGAAAAGAAAAGGAAAAGAGAUAGGAAAAGAAAGGAAAGGAAAGAAAAGUAUAACGUGUAAAAAAAAAAAAAGAAACAUUUCCCUCGCGUUUUCAUAUUUGUCAAUGUAUAAAAUGUCGACAUCCGCAGAGAGUAAACGCAUCAGCGGUCGACUGCGAUAUAAAAAGUAAAAGAAAAGAAAAAAAGAAAAAAAAGAAAAAAAAAGAAAGAUAUAUAAUACAAAUUAUGUACAUACGUUUUUCGUUGCGUUUGCGAGUAAACAGGCGGAUAAAGAAAGAAGAAAAAAAAAAGUAAUAAUAAUAAUAAUUAUAAUAAAGCAAAAAAGGAAAAAAGAAAAAAAAAAAGAGGAAAAAAUAAUGUAAAAGACUGUGUUGUUUAAUAAAUGUAUCGUUUUUUCUUGCUAAACAAGGAAAUGGAUACUUUAAGCUGGUACAUCUAAAUAAACGAUGAAAUUAUUUAAAAGUGAUAAGGGGACAGUACGGGAUGAAAGCGUGAAAUAAAAGGAAAAAUAAAAAAAAAAAAAAAAAAAAAGAAAAAAAAGAAAAAAAAAUUAUGCCAUACACAAGGAAUCGCAUCCAUUUGGUCGACUGCAAAAAUAAAACGAAAGAAAAAAAAAAGUAGAAACAAAAUAAAAUAAAAUAAAAUAAAAUAAAAUAAAAUAAAUAUCGUGCAUGUAUGUAUAUGUACCUAUGCAUGUACGCUUUUCGUUCUAUUUUCGAGUAAACAGGCGGAUAAAAAAAAA